CCUACGGGAGGCAGCAGUGGGGAAUAUUGGGCAAUGGGCGCAAGCCUGACCCAGCAACGCCGCGUGAAGGAAGAAGGCUUUCGGGUUGUAAACUUCUUUUCUGAGGGACGAAGAAAGUGACGGUACCUCAGGAAUAAGCCACGGCUAACUACGUGCCAGCAGCCGCGGUAAUACGUAGGUGGCACGCGUUAGACGGAUUUAGUGGGUGGAAAGGGCGUUGAUGCGGGAAAGCAUGUCAGAUGUGAAAACUCAGGGCUCAACCCUGAGCCUGCAUGUGAAACUGUUUUUCUUGAGUGCUGGAGAGGCAAUCGGAAUUACGUGUGCAGCGGUGAAAUGCGUAGAUAUACGGAGGAACACCAGUGGCGAAGGCGGAUUGCUGGACAGUAACUGACGCUGAGGCGCGAAAGCGUGGGGAGCAAACAGGAUUAGAUACCCCUGUAGUC
rnacentral:rRNA from 1 species